AACGAACGCUGGCGGCAUGCCUAACACAUGCAAGUCGAGCGAUCCCUUCGGGGAUAGUGGCGCACGGGUGCGUAACGCGUGGGAACCUGCCCUUAGGUUCGGAAUAACUCAGAGAAAUUUGAGCUAAUACCGGAUAAUGUCUUCGGACCAAAGAUUUAUCGCCUUUGGAUGGGCCCGCGUUGGAUUAGCUAGUUGGUGGGGUAAAGGCCUACCAAGGCGACGAUCCAUAGCUGGUCUGAGAGGAUGAUCAGCCACACUGGGACUGAGACACGGCCCAGACUCCUACGGGAGGCAGCAGUGGGGAAUAUUGGACAAUGGGCGAAAGCCUGAUCCAGCAAUGCCGCGUGAGUGAUGAAGGCCUUAGGGUUGUAAAGCUCUUUUACCCGGGAUGAUAAUGACGGUACCGGGAGAAUAAGCCCCGGCUAACUCCGUG
rnacentral:rRNA from 1 species